CCUACGGGAGGCAGCAGUGGGGAAUCUUGCACAAUGGGCGAAAGCCUGAUGCAGCAACGCCGCGUGCGGGAAGAAGGCCCUAGGGUUGUAAACCGCUUUCAGUAGGGAAGAAAAUGACGGUACCUACAGAAGAAGGUGCGGCCAACUACGUGCCAGCAGCCGCGGUGACACGUAGGCACCAAGCGUUAUCCGGAUUUAUUGGGCGUAAAGAGCUCGUAGGCGGUUCGGUAAGUCGGGUGUGAAAACUCUGGGCUCAACCCAGAGAGGCCACCCGAUACUGCUGUGACUAGAGUGCGGUAGGGGAGCGGGGAAUUCCUGGUGUAGCGGUGAAAUGCGCAGAUAUCAGGAGGAACACCAGCGGCGAAGGCGCCGCUCUGGGCCGUAACUGACGCUGAGGAGCGAAAGCAUGGGUAGCAAACAGGAUUAGAUACCCUGGUAGUCCAUGCCGUAAACGUUGGGCACUAGGUGUGGGUCUCAACCAACGAGAUCCGCGCCGUCGCUAACGCAUUAAGUGCCCCGCCUGGGGAGUACGGUCGCAAGACUAAAACUUAAGGAAUUGACGGCUGAGACGUGCGAGACGACGACGAGGAGAG
rnacentral:rRNA from 1 species